GCAGCUGUGGCCGGAGUGGUUAAGGCGUGGGCUGAAAUCCAUUGGGGUCUCCCCACGUAGGUUCGAAUCCUACCGGCUGCG
rnacentral:tRNA from 1 species